AGACCCGAAACCCGGUGAUCUAGCCAUGGGCAGGUUGAAGGUUGGGUAACACUAACUGGAGGACCGAACCGACUAAUGUUGAAAAAUUAGCGGAUGACCUGUGGCUGGGGGUGAAAGGCCAAUCAAACCGGGAGAUAGCUGGUUCUCCCCGAAAGCUAUUUAGGUAGCGCCUCGUGAAUUCAUCUCCGGGGGUAGAGCACUGUUUCGGCUAGGGGGCCAUCCCGGCUUACCAACCCGAUGCAAACUGCGAAUACCGGAGAAUGUUAUCACGGGAGACACACGGCGGGUGCUAACGUCCGUCGUGAAGAGGGAAACAACCCAGACCGCCAGCUAAGGUCCCAAAGUCAUGGUUAAGUGGGAAACGAUGUGGGAAGGCCCAGACAGCCAGGAUGUUGGCUUAGAAGCAGCCAUCAUUUAAAGAAAGCGUAAUAGCUCACUGGUCGAGUCGGCCUGCGCGGAAGAUGUAACGGGGCUAAACCAUGCACCGAAGCUGCGGCAGCGAACGUAUCACUUAAAGCGAUUCAGCGGGUUACGAUUGACGGAGCGAAGCGACGUCAAAGCGUAUACAAAGUCGAGUCGGUUUAAGGAUACGUUCGUUGGGUAGGGGAGCGUUCUGUAAGCCUGUGAAGGUGUGUCGUGAGGCAUGCUGGAGG
rnacentral:rRNA from 1 species